UACGUAGGCAGCAAGCGUUGUUCGGAAUUACUGGGCGUAAAGAGUGUGUAGGCGGUGCUCUAAGUUGGUGUGAAAUCUCCCGGCUCAACUGGGAGGGUGCGCCGAAAACUGGAAUGCUUGAACGUGGGAGAGGAAAGCGGAAUUCCUGGUGUAGCGGUGAAAUGCGUAGAUAUCAGGAGGAACACCGAUGGCGAAGGCGGCGAUCUGGGUCGAUACUGACGCUGAGGUGCGAAAGCGUGGGGAG
rnacentral:rRNA from 1 species